rnacentral:misc_RNA from 1 species
GAUGAAGAACGCAGCGAAAUGCGAUAAGUAAUGUGAAUUGCAGAAUUCAGUGAAUCAUCGAAUCUUUGAACGCACCUUGCGCUCCUUGGUAUUCCAAGGAGCAUGCCUGUUUGAGUAUCAUUAAAUUAUCAACUGUGCCAAUUUGGUUACAGAUUGGAUGUGGGAGAUUCUUUUUGCAGGCCUUUGACUUCUCUUUGAGAAAAAAAAUAAAAGGUCGGCUCUCCUGAAAUGUAUUAGCAGUGCCUUUGUUGGUUCAUUAGGUGUGAUAAAUUGUCUACAUCUUCGCAUGAUACCUUCAUUUGUAAAGGUCAUAUUGCUUCUAAAUUGUCUUUGAUUGGACGCAAAACAUAUAUAAUGUUUGACAAACUUGAUCUCAAAUCAGGCAGGACUACCCGCUGAACUUAAGCAUAUCAAUAACGGAGGA